rnacentral:rRNA from 1 species
GUCUACGGUCAUAUCACCCUGAACACACCCAAUCUCGUGUGACCUUGGAAGCUAAGCAGGGUCGGGCCAGGUUUGUACUUAGAUGGGAAAGAAAGAGAUAGAGGCA